CGGUGUUCAACUGGCGUGUCCGCGGGACGUCCUGCCGGUGGGCUUAGCCCGCAAGGGCGGCCCAACUUCAAAUCCCAUCGCGGUGCUCUUCACUGAGUGUCGAGGUGGGCCGGCACGUUUACUUUGAACAAAUUAGAGUGCUUAAAGCAGGCUAAAACUUCGCCUGAAUACUGUGUGCAUGGAAUAAUGGAAUAGGACCUCGGUUCUAUUUUGUUGGUUUUCGGAACCCCGAGGUAAUGAUUAAUAGGAACGGAUGGGGGCAUUCGUAUUGCGACGUUAGAGGUGAAAUUCUUGGAUCGUCGCAAGACGGACAGAAGCGAAAGCAUUUGCCAAAAACGCUUUCAUUGAUCAAGAACGAAAGUUAGAGGUUCGAAGGCGAUCAGAUACCGCCCUAGUUCUAACCAUAAACGAUGCCAGCUAGCGAUCCGUCGACGUUCCUCCGAUGACUCGACGGGCAGCUUCCGGGAAACCAAAGCUUUUGGGUUCCGGGGGAAGUAUGGUUGCAAAGCUGAAACUUAAAGGAAUUGACGGAAGGGCACCACCAGGAGUGGAGCGCGCGGCUUAAUUUGACUCAACACGGGAAACCUCACCAGGCCCGGACACCGGAAGGAUUGACAGAUUGAGAGCUCUUUCUUGAUUCGGUGGGUGGUGGUGCAUGGCCGUUCUUAGUUGGUGGAGCGAUUUGUCUGGUUAAUUCCGAUAACGAACGAGACUCUAGCCUGCUAACUAGGCGUAUUUUCGACAUCUCAAAGGUCCGUCGUCCCGGCCCUCGGGUCGUGGGCGUGCGCGAUUUUUACUGUCGGCGUACUAUCAAUUCUUCUAGAGGGACAGGUGGCUUCUAGCCGCACGAGAUUGAGCAAUAACAGGUCUGUGAUG
rnacentral:rRNA from 1 species